rnacentral:hammerhead_ribozyme from 1 species
AUCCAGCUGAUGAGUCCCAAACAGGACGAAACGCGUGUCCUGGAU